GACGAACGCUGGCGGCGUGCUUAACACAUGCAAGUCGAACGAUGAUGCCAGCUUGCUGGUGGAUUAGUGGCGAACGGGUGAGUAACACGUGGGUGAUUUGCCCCAAACUUUGGGAUAAGCCUGGGAAACUGGGUUUAAUACCGGAUAGUACCUUCCCUUGCAUGGGGGUUGGUGGAAAGCUCCGGCGGUUUGGGAUGGGCCCGCGGCCUAUCAGCUUGUUGGUGGGGUAAUGGCCUACCAAGGCGACGACGGGUAGCCGGCCUGAGAGGGCGACCGGCCACACUGGGACUGAGACACGGCCCAGACUCCUACGGGAGGCAGCAGUGGGGAAUAUUGCACAAUGGGCGCAAGCCUGAUGCAGCGACGCCGCGUGAGGGAUGACGGCCUUCGGGUUGUAAACCUCUUUCACCAGGGACGAAGCGUGAGUGACGGUACCUGGAGAAGAAGCACCGGCCAACUACGUG
rnacentral:rRNA from 1 species